rnacentral:rRNA from 1 species
CUCGUAGGCGGUUCGUCGCGUCCGGUGUGAAAGUCCAUCGCUUAACGGUGGAUCUGCGCCGGGUACGGGCGGGCUGGAGUGCGGUAGGGGAGACUGGAAUUCCCGGUGUAACGGUGGAAUGUGUAGAUAUCGGGAAGAACACCAAUGGCGAAGGCAGGUCCCUGGGCCGUUACUGACGCUGAGGAGCGAAAGCGUGGGGAGCGAACA